rfam:Daphnia pulex DAPPTscaffold_261_Cont7979, whole genome shotgun sequence.
ACCGAAGUAGAUCAGUUGGGAAAGCGUUAGACUGAAAAUCUAAAGGUCCCUGGUUCGAUCCCGGGUUUCGGCA